rnacentral:rRNA from 1 species
AGCAGCCGCGGUAAUUCCAGCUCCAAUAGCGUAUAUUAAAGUUGUUGCAGUUAAAAAGCUCGUAGUUGAAUUUCGGGACCAAUUUGUUGGUCGUGCCUCGGUACGUACUGGUAUUAUUGGUUUCUCCCUUCUGAAGAACCUCGAUGCCAUUAAUUUGGUGUCGUGGGGAAUCAGGACUGUUACUUUGAAAAAAUUAGAGUGUUUAAAGCAAGCAUACGCUUGAAUACAUUAGCAUGGAAUAAUGAAAUAGGACGUUUGAUUCUAUUUUGUGGUUUCUAGGAUCGACGUAAUGAUUAAUAGGGAUAGUUGGGGGCAUUAGUAUUCAAUUGUCAGAGGUGAAAUUCUUGGAUUUAUUGAAGACUAACUACUGCGAAAGCAUUUGCCAAGGAUGUUUUCAUUAAUCAAGAACGAAAGUUAGGGGAUCGAAGACGAUCAGAUACCGUCGUAGUC